CCAAGGACGUUCCUUGGCAACUUGUUAACUAGUGUUUGAUUAGCGAACGUUUCCUAAUCAAACUAGAACUAAGGAGGAAUUUGGAUUGUGAGAAGCGUCUUCCACAUCCUAAACUAAUUUAUUGGAAUAAAUAGGAGCGUUAAAGAAUCAAUGAUCAAUUCUAAACAAUCUGAAAUAGAUCCAUACUUCAACUAGAAGCUUUUCUCUUAUUGAUUUACUCAUCUUUAAAUUAUU
rnacentral:lncRNA from 1 species